rnacentral:rRNA from 1 species
UACGUAGGGUGCGAGCGUUGUCCGGAAUUAUUGGGCGUAAAGGGUUCGUAGGCGGUUUGUCACGUCGGGAGUGAAAACGCCGUGCUUAACACGGCGCUUGCUUUUGAUACGGGCAGACUAGAGGUAUGCAGGGGAGAACGGAAUUCCUGGUGUAGCGGUGAAAUGCGUAGAUAUGAGGAGGAACACCGGUGGCGAAGGCGGUUCUCUGGGCAUUACCUGACGCUGAGGAGCGAAAGUGUGGGGAGCGAACAGG